GAAGAAAUGGGGGAGAAAGCGAAGCAAGGCCAGCGUAGGAGGACGCUGGAGGCCGGCCCAGGUGGACGCCCCGAUGUCAGAGCUGACAUACAAGAACAUAGAGCAGCAUGAGACGGGUGAUCCGGGUCCCCAGGAUGCCCCUGAGCUGGGCAGGGAGGAGCUGGGCACGGAUAGUCCCCCGGAUCUUCCUCAGCGCAGAUGGGGAGCAGAGCUGCAGAGUACAGCGACGCACCAUCUACAGCCAGCCCAUGAAGACAGCCCCCAAGACCAACCCUGACAACGUCCAAUACUCCAGUGUCAAGUUCCAGCCAGCCCCGCAGAGCCGUGGACCUGCCUCAGACCUUGCCUGUGACUACCCCAACAUCAAGCACUACGUGUCAGCCGUGGGUACCCCCAUCACUCCUAGUCCUGGCUCUAGUCUCAGGAGUGGGGACAGGGGGCCACGGUCUGGGAUCAGUGAUGGGAGAGAAGAUCAGUGGAGCUUUGUGGGUGGAAGGGACUAUGUUGGCUGAAAAUUUUCUCUCCGUUUCCUGAGUCCCAUGGUCCAUAGGGCAUUGAAUCUUGCUAAUUAGGCUCUGUUAUGAAUUGAUUGCCUUAGACCUGGCUUCUCAGGACUGCUAAGUACAAUGUAAACAGCUUUUAACAAAGUGUGGAUAAUGGUGUGUGAUGUAAGAAGCUUUAACGAGGCCUGAGUGCGGGGCUGGGGUAUGGCAAAUUUUUAAUGAGUUGUGGACAGCUAAGUGGCUUUGAAUGAGGCAUGCGCUCGAUGUUGGCACAAAAUGUAAUAAUAAGCUUUAAAGAGGAGUGGAUGGCAGGACCAAAUACUAGGGGUGCUUUAAGGAGGUGUGGCUAAGCAUAUGCAAGAGGCUUUUAAUGAGGCAGAACAUAAUGCAGCAAGCCUUAAUGAGGUAUGGACGGCUAUUUCCCCACCCUUUGGCUGAAAUUUCCAUAUGGAAAUCUAUGGUAUUUGCUGUUUGCAUAAUUGACCUACCUACCCAUCUUCCCUAUAGGCUUCGGAAGUGGCUGAGAUUUUAGCUGUUGUAUAACAAUGAGUAAUGUGUAUUUUACCCUGAUUGUAUCCACCUUGGGUGGGUGUCUUUCCGAGCCCGCCGCUGUUCUGCCCUGUGUGAUUCCUUCUUGCUUUCACAUAAAGCUCCAUCCUGCUCAGUUUGGGAAGAAAGAGAAGAAGAAGAAUUAAAUGUCUUUGCUGCCUUACACCAUGGAUGAUUUGCGUGGUGGGUAACACAGAGGAUGGCCAAGCGCUGUCAGAAGAGAAGCAAGCUCUGGGUCAUAGCCCUGGGUUCAGGGCGUGAAGGCUAGAGACAAGGCAGUGCCUGCGACCCCAGUCCCUAGUGAAUUUGAGCAACCCCUCUAGAGCAGAGCUGGCAGGUUCUUCUGCCCCCUGGACACAUGGACCGUGGGGCUCCUCGUAGGCUGGAUACGAACCCGGCAAACACGGCUGUGUAGUGGCAAACACAGAGACACAUAUCCCACAAUGCACCAGGUUGAAAA
ensembl:lncRNA